AGUGAACGCUGGCGGUAGGCCUAACACAUGCAAGUCGAACGGCAGCACAGUAAGAGCUUGCUCUUACGGGUGGCGAGUGGCGGACGGGUGAGGAAUACAUCGGAAUCUACUUUUUCGUGGGGGAUAACGUAGGGAAACUUACGCUAAUACCGCAUACGACCUACGGGUGAAAGCAGGGGAUCUUCGGACCUUGCGCGAUUGAAUGAGCCGAUGUCGGAUUAGCUAGUUGGCGGGGUAAAGGCCCACCAAGGCGACGAUCCGUAGCUGGUCUGAGAGGAUGAUCAGCCACACUGGAACUGAGGCACGGUCCAGACUCCUAUGGGAGGCAGCAGUGGGGAAUAUUGGACAAUGGGCGCAAGCCUGAUCCAGCCAUACCGCGUGGGUGAAGAAGGCCUUCGGGUUGUAAAGCCCUUUUGUUGGGAAAGAAAAGCAGCAGGUUAAUACCCCGCUGUUCUGACGGUACCCAAAGAAUAAGCACCGGCUAACUUCGUG
rnacentral:rRNA from 1 species